rnacentral:rRNA from 1 species
UACGUAGGGGGCAAGCGUUAUCCGGAUUUACUGGGUGUAAAGGGGGCGCAGACGGCAAUGCAAGCCAGGAGUGAAAUACCGGGGCUCAACUCCGGGACUGCAUUGGAAACUGUCAGACUGGAGUGUCGGAGAGGCAGGCGGAAUUCCUGGUGUAGCGGUGAAAUGCGUAGAUAUCAGGAGGAACACCAGUGGCGAAGGCGGCCUGCUGGACGAUGACUGACGCUGAGGCUCGAAGGCGUGGGGAGCAAACAGG